GCUGGGUGUGGUGGCAUGCACCUGUAGUCCUAGCUACUUGGGAGGCUGAGGCAGGAGGAUUGCUUGAGCCCAGGAGGCUGAGGCUGCAGUGAGCUAUGAUUGUGCUACUGUACUCUAACCUGGGUGACAGAGUGAGACUUUGUCUCUA
ensembl:misc_RNA Metazoa_SRP Metazoan signal recognition particle RNA